CAUCUUCAGCAAGAACCACAAGCAAUUCCGCAUAAUCAGCUGGAAGCUGGAUGAGCUGCACUGCCAGUUCCCGGUUCUGCUGCCAGGCAGCCUGCACUUGCUGCCGCUGCUCACACUCCACUGCAACAUCACGGAAUCCUAUCCAUCUUCUUCACUGAUGUGGUUUGUGGACUCUGAUGACCCAAAUCUGACAUUAGUUCUG
rnacentral:lncRNA from 1 species